GGUCUGAUGGCGUAGUUGGUUAUUGCAUCUGUCUAACACAGAAGGCCCUCAGUUCGAUUUUUCAUGCCU